rnacentral:ncRNA from 1 species
ACUUCAGGGCAGGGUUAGAUUCCCUACCGGCGGUACAGCCCGCGAGCGUAAAGCAUGAACUGGUUAGAUUCCAGUGCCGACAGUAUAGUCUGGAUGAAAGAAGU